rnacentral:rRNA from 1 species
CGGAGGGAGCUAGCGUUGUUCGGAAUUACUGGGCGUAAAGCGCGCGUAGGCGGUUACUCAAGUCAGAGGUGAAAGCCCGGGGCUCAACCCGGAACUGCCUUUGAAACUAGGUGACUAGAAUCUUGGAGAGGUCAGUGGAAUUCCGAGUGUAGAGGUGAAAUUCGUAGAUAUUCGGAAGAACACCAGUGGCGAAGGCGACUGACUGGACAAGUAUUGACGCUGAGGUGCGAAAGCGUGGGGAGCAAACAGGAUU